rnacentral:rRNA from 1 species
CAAUAGCGUAUAUUAAAGUUGUUGCAGUUAAAAAGCUCGUAGUUGGAUUUCUGGCCGAGUGUCCCUAGGCCAGCAUGACGUUUGGUCCUAGGCGCUCUGCCAUCCUUCUGUCAACCUUCGCCUUCUUCAUUGGGGGCGCUGGGGCUCAGAUAUUUUACCUUGAGAAAAUUAGAGUGUUUCAGGCAGGCUUUCGCCGGAAUACAUUAGCAUGGAAUAAUGGAAUAGGACCCUGGUUCUAUUUUGUUGGUUUUGAGAACCAGAGUAAUGAUUAAUAGGGAUAGUUGGGGGCAUUCAUAUUUCAUUGUCAGAGGUGAAAUUCUUGGAUUUAUGAAAGAUGAACUUCUGCGAAAGCAUUUGCCAAGGAUGUUUUCAUUAAUCAAGAACGAAAGUUAGGGGAUCGAAGAUGAUCAGAUACCAU